GAUAAUUUACGAUUAUCGAAGCGAAUUGUAAGAAAUGUGUAUAAAGAAAAUUCAACAAAAUUUUGAAAUGCCAUGCCGUAUACUAUUAUCCAUCAAACAAUUAAUAAUUCAAAAUAGUCAAACAGGAAUGACAUUAAGUGAACUAUCAAAAAUAUUGCAAAUUAGUGAAAGAAUGAUCUAUAGAAUAUACAAACAACAUACAGAGACAGGAAUAUUAUCCCCUAUGAAGCCUACUGGCUGUCCUCGAUUCAGGAAGAAGAAGAAGUAUUAAUAAGUAUGAGUGAGAAAGAACCUUUCAGAUGGGUGAAAGUGCUUAGAGAAGAGUUGGGAUU
rnacentral:lncRNA from 1 species